rnacentral:rRNA from 1 species
AACGAACGCUGGCGGCAUGCCUAACACAUGCAAGUCGAACGAGACCUUCGGGUCUAGUGGCGCACGGGUGCGUAACGCGUGGGAACCUGCCCUUAGGUUCGGAAUAACUCAGAGAAAUUUGAGCUAAUACCGGAUAAUGUCUUCGGACCAAAGAUUUAUCGCCUUUGGAUGGGCCCGCGUAGGAUUAGCUUGUUGGUGGGGUAAUGGCCUACCAAGGCGACGAUCCUUAGCUGGUCUGAGAGGAUGAUCAGCCACACUGGGACUGAGACACGGCCCAGACUCCUACGGGAGGCAGCAGUGGGGAAUAUUGGACAAUGGGCGGAAGCCUGAUCCAGCAAUGCCGCGUGAGUGAUGAAGGCCUUAGGGUUGUAAAGCUCUUUUACCAGGGAUGAUAAUGACAGUACCUGGAGAAUAAGCUCCGGCUAACUCCGUG